rnacentral:rRNA from 1 species
AGCUGGCUCCUUCGGGGUCCGCAUUGUAAUUUGCAGAGGAUGCUUCGGGAGCGGUCCCCAUCUAAGUGCCCUGGAACGGGACGUCAUAGAGGGUGAGAAUCCCGUAUGGGAUGGGGUGUCCGCGCCCGUGUGAAGCUCCUUCGACGAGUCGAGUUGUUUGGGAAUGCAGCUCUAAAUGGGUGGUAAAUUUCAUCUAAAGCUAAAUAUUGGCCGGAGACCGAUAGCGCACAAGUAGAGUGAUCGAAAGAUGAAAAGCACUUUGAAAAGAGAGUUAAAAAGCACGUGAAAUUGUUGAAAGGGAAGCGCUUGCGACCAGACUCGCUCGCGGGGUUCAGCCGGCAUUCGUGCCGGUGUACUUCCCCGCGGGCGGGCCAGCGUCGGUUUGGGCGGUCGGUCAAAGGCUCUCGGAAGGUAACGCCCCCUCGGGGGCGUCUUAUAGCCGAGGGUGCAA